rnacentral:rRNA from 1 species
AAUCAACGCUGGCGGCGCGCUUAACACAUGCAAGUCGAGCGAGAAAGUCCCCUUCGGGGGAUGAGUAAAGCGGCGGACGGGUGAGUAACACGUGGGUUACCUGCCCUUGAGUGGGGAAUAACCUCGGGAAACUGGGGCUAAUACCGCAUACGAUCCUUCGGGAUGAAAGCCUUCGGGCGCUCAAGGAGGGGCCCGCGGCCGAUUAGCUAGUUGGUAGGGUAAUGGCCUACCAAGGCGUCGAUCGGUAGCCGGCCUGAGAGGGCACACGGCCACACUGGCACUGAGACACGGGGCCAGACUCCUACGGGAGGCAGCAGUGGGAAUCUUGGACAAUGGGGGAAACCCUGAUCCAGCGACGCCGCGUGACCGAUGACGCCUCGGU